GACGAACGCUGGCGGCGCGCCUAACACAUGCAAGUCGAACGAGCGAGAGAGAGCUUGCUUUCUCGAGCGAGUGGCGAACGGGUGAGUAACGCGUGAGGAACCUGCCUCAAAGAGGGGGACAACAGUUGGAAACGACUGCUAAUACCGCAUAAGCCCACGGCUCGGCAUCGAGCAGGGGGAAAAGGAGCAAUCCGCUUUGAGAUGGCCUCGCGUCCGAUUAGCUAGUUGGUGAGGUAACGGCCCACCAAGGCGACGAUCGGUAGCCGGACUGAGAGGUUGAACGGCCACAUUGGGACUGAGACACGGCCCAGAAUCCUACGGGAGGCAGCAGUGGGGAAUAUUGCAAAAUGGGGGAAACCCUGAUGCAGCGACGCCGCGUGGAGGAAGAAGGUGUUCGGAUUGUAAACUCCUGUUGUUGGGGAAGAUAAUGACGGUACCCAACAAGGAAGUGACGGCUAACUACGUG
rnacentral:rRNA from 1 species